rnacentral:rRNA from 1 species
CCUAUGGUGGCUGCAGUGGGGAAUAUUGGACAAUGGGCGAAAGCCUGAUCCAGCCAUGCCGCGUGUGUGAAGAAGGCCUUCGGGUUGUAAAGCACUUUCAGUGGGGAAGAAAGCCUUGGGGCUAAUACCCUCGAGGAAGGACAUCACCCACAGAAGAAGCACCGGCUAACUCCGUGCCAGCAGCCGCGGUAAUACGGAGGGUGCGAGCGUUAAUCGGAAUUACUGGGCGUAAAGCGCGCGUAGGCGGUCUGAUAAGCCGGUUGUGAAAGCCCCGGGCUCAACCUGGGAACGGCAUCCGGAACUGUCAGGCUAGAGUGCAGGAGAGGAAGGUAGAAUUCCCGGUGUAGCGGUGAAAUGCGUAGAGAUCGGGAGGAAUACCAGUGGCGAAGGCGGCCUUCUGGACUGACACUGACGCUGAGGUGCGAAAGCGUGGGUAGCAAACAGGAUUAGAUACCCUAGUAGUC